UAAAAAAUUGGCGGUAUUUUAGUCUAUUCAGAGGAACUUGUUUUGUAAUCGAUAAUCCACGAUGGACCUUACUUAAGUUUAUUCAGUUUAUAUACCGUCGUAUUAGAAUAUUUUAUAAGAAAGUUAAUUUUCAAGAUUUUUAAAUAGAAAGAAUAUCAGAUCAAGGUGUAGCUUAUGUUUAAGUAAAAAUGGGUUACAAUAAAAUUAUUUAGAUGAAUAUAAAUUUGAAAUGUUUAUUGAAGGUGGAUUUGAUAGUAAAAUUAUAAAGAUAAAUAAUUUGAUUUUAGCUCUAAAAUAUGCACACAUCGCCCGUCACUCUUAUUAUUAAGGUAAGAUAAGUCGUAACAUAGUAGAUGUACUGGAAAGUGUACCUAGAAUGCAAUUUAAAGCUUAUUAAGUAAAGCAUUUCAUUUACAUUGAAAAGAUUUUUGUGCARAUCAAUAUAAAUUGAUUAUAUUUUAUUUAUUAAUUAAUUUUUUUUUUAUUAUAAAUUAUUAAAAAUAAUUAUUAAUUGAUUUGUUAAGUAUUUAUAAAGAAAAAAUAAUUUUAACUAUAGUUAAUAGUAUUGUGAAAGAAAAUUGAAAUA
rnacentral:rRNA from 1 species